CUAAGCUGUAUGUGCACUGCCUGCCCGGGGCUGGCUCUCCCUCUCUCUCUCUCUCUCUGUGUGUACUAUGUAAUCUCAUGUAGUGUGUGCAGCAACCAGGGCACACAUUGCUCUGCCCAGGGUCCUGGUAUAUCCGGAGCAGAUCAUAUCCAGGGGUUAUUGUGUUAUAUAUGGAGAAGGUGUAUGGGGGUUGCUGGUACAUUGGGUGCAGGAGGGACCCUCCAUUGUCUGCCCCCAUUCUAGGAGCUGCUUCUGGUAUGGGCUGUGAUAUAUACCGCAUUGAUUAAACACAGACAGGGGCUCUAACAAUACACUGU